UGGCUCAGGAUGAACGCUGGCGGCGUGCCUAAUACAUGCAAGUCGAACGAGAAGUCACGACUUCGGUUGUGAUGGAGAGUGGCGCACGGGUGCGUAACACGUAGCUGACCUGCCCUUCGCAGGGGGAUAACACAGCGAAAGUUGUGCUAAUACCGCGUAAGCUGGUGCUAGUUAGAGCGGCAUCAGUAAAGAGUUAUCGGCGAAGGAGGGGGCUGCGGUCCAUCAGCUUGUUGGUGAGGUAACAGCUCACCAAGGCGAAGACGGAUAGGGGGCCUGAGAGGGUGACCCCCACACUGGAACUGAGACACGGUCCAGACUCCUACGGGAGGCAGCAGUAAGGAAUAUUGCACAAUGGGCGCAAGCCUGAUGCAGCGACGCCGCGUGAGGGAUGAAGGGUUUCGGCUCGUAAACCUCUUUUCUGUGUGAAGAGCAAGGACGGUAGCACAGGAAUAAGUCUCGGCUAACUACGUGCCAGCAGCCGCGGUAAAACGUAGGAGGCGAGCGUUAUCCGGAAUUACUGGGCGUAAAGCGCACGUAGGCGGCGCGCAAAGUGGUGCGUGAAAGCUCCCGGCUCAACUGGGAGAGGACGUACCAAACUGGCGUGCUAGAGAGAGAUAGAGGUCGACAGAAUUCCGGGUGGAGUGGUGAAAUGCGUAGAGAUCCGGAGGAAUACCAGAGGCGAAGGCGGUCGGCUGGGUCUCAUCUGACGCUGAGGUGCGAAAGUGUGGGGAGCGAACGGGAUUAGAAACCCCGGUAGUCCACACCGUAAACGAUGCAUACUAGUUGUUAGACGCCUACGGGCGUUGAGUGACGAAGCCAACGCGUUAAGUAUGCCGCCUGGGGAGUACGGUCGCAAGGCUAAAACUCAAAGGAAUUGACGGGGGCCCGCACAAGCAGCGGAGCGUGUGGUUUAAUUCGAGGCUACGCGAAGAACCUUACCUGGGCUUGACAUGCUAGUAGUACUCAUGUGGAAACACGUGGGGACCUUCGGGAGCUAGCACAGGUGCUGCAUGGCUGUCGUCAGCUCGUGCCGUGAGGUGUUCGGUUAAGUCCGAAAACGAGCGCAACCCCUAGCGUUAGUUACAAGUGUCUAACGCGACUGCCCGGGGAAACUGGGAGCAAGGUGGGGAUGACGUCAAGUCAGCAUGGCCUUUAUGUCCAGGGCGACACACACGCUACAAUGGCCGGUACAAUAGGCAGCCAAGCCGCGAGGUGGAGCGAAUCCAAAAAAACCGGUCUCAGUUCGGAUUGUAGGCUGCAACUCGCCUGCAUGAAGUCGGAGUUGCUAAUAAACGCGGAUCAGCCACGCCGCGUUGAAUACGUUCCCGGGCAUUGUACACACCGCCCGUCACGUCAUGGAAGCUGGUCACGCCUGAAGUCGGUGAGCGAACC
rnacentral:rRNA from 1 species